rnacentral:tRNA from 1 species
AAAUAAAGAAAUAAUAAAUUAAAUUUAAUUUCGACUUAAACCUAGGAAUAAAACAUUCCCUUAUUUU